UUCUUUUCUCCUUUUCUUUCCUGGGUAAGGUUUAUAUGUCCUGAAAUGUGCAAGAAAUUGAUAGAUGUAAGCAAUUGUCAUGGACUUUCAAGACCCCUACAGGUAGCAAACCUUUCUUACCAAAUCUGAAAUAAACACAAUAGGAUAAUGUUGCAUUUUUUAGAGGUGGAGUCCCAUUACACCAUAACAGCUUUCGUGAUCGAUUGUUGUUUACCAGGAUACCGUUGCCUUAUAUAUGCUUGUAUAAGUUUGGAAAUUUUAGUCAAAAAAGAAGCUAUAUCAUAAGUCUUCUGGAAAAGAAAAAAGUAUUGGUGUAAAAGUUUGAAUGCUGGACUAUAAUUCUAGGAGACUAGAGUUAGAAUUCUUUUUCAGCUAUAAAAACUCCUGGAGUGACCUUGAGCAAGCCAUACUCUCUCAGUCUCAGAGGAGUGCAAUGGCAAACUGCCUCUGAAUAAACCUUAUCUAUAAGGUCACAAUAAAUCAGAAAUGACAAAGACAUGUAAUAAUAACAACUAAGAUUUUUUUUGCCCCUUCCUCUCAACUCCUUCUGCUGAGUUAACUGAAUGCAAACUACUUUUCCAUUUUGAACUCAUUCUGCCACAACUAAAGUAAGCUCAGGACAGUGGGGGGAGGAGAGAGAAGCUGAGACAUUUUGAAAGCAGCUGAAAAAGUGGGAUGACAGAGGAUUAAAUAAGGAUUUUCACUGCAGUUAGCUGGGAAAACUCAAGAUAGAAAUUGAGAUUUCACUACCUGAGUAUUUGUUUCUGACAGAAACAGCUGUUCCAAUAAACAUGUCGAUAUUUAUAUUUCUUAUUCAUUUGCUUUCCAUUGUCUGCCUGACAGGAACCUUUGGACACCAAGGAAGAAAGAAGUGGGACAUGACUCCUCCUGAAAGACUUGUGACAUUUCUCUUCCACAGUCCUACCAGCUUAAUUCUCUGGAUUGCUGAAGGAUAAAGUUAAAAGACAAGAAAGGUGAAAUGGGUGGUAUAUCAGACAGCUUAUUAAAGAGACAAGCUUGCUGCUUUCCCAAAGUGAGAUGACAGAACCAGUCAUGGUAUGUAUUGUAAUUUCAGUGCUGCAAUACAUCUUGAAGCUGUCUUAGGUAAAACGCUUGCUAAGCAUUGCAUUGGGGCUGUCAGAAUGCUUCAUGGGGUAGUAAUUAAAUUGAGGCAAUUCUACAGUUCAUUUUAUGGAACCAAGCCAAAACUAUAUCUAGCCUAGAAAUAUUUUCCAUAGACCUUGCUUUUUUUUUUUUUUUGGGUUUGUUUGUUUGUUUUGCUUUUUAAUUGUGAGAACCAGAUGUCUUUCACCUAAGUAUAUAUUUUCACCCUAGUGGAAUGUAUCCAGCUCUUAUUGUCUGCUCUGCUUUUUUUGUUUGUUAUCUAUAAUUUCUUUCACAUUAUACUUGAAAGAAAGAGGGCAUUGAGAAUUUGAAAUAUAAUUGCUCUUGCAGUAUGCAUGGACUUUAGUUGCCAUUAAUAUAAACUCUAAUCUGAAGAACAAGGAGGACUGUAAUUUUGUGUUUGGCAACAGCUAAGACAAUUUGAAGAAGUAUUGAUGUUGGAUUGCCUGCUAGAAGCAACAUAAUAUUCAGAAAAUAUAGGGCCCUUCCACACAGGCCCAAAACCCAUGAUGGGUUUUGGAUUAACCCAGAGUAAAUUGGGAUUCCCUGAUUUACUCUGAAUUUUUAAA
ensembl:lncRNA